rnacentral:rRNA from 1 species
CCUACGGGUGGCUGCAGUGAGGAAUAUUGGUCAAUGGCCGCAGGGCUGAACCAGCCAAGUCGCGUGAGGGAUGAAGGUACUGUGUAUUGUAAACCUCUUUUGUCAGGGAGCAAAGGCCGCCACGUGUGCCGCUUUGCGAGUACCUGAAGAAAAAGCAUCGGCUAACUCCGUGCCAGCAGCCGCGGUAAUACGGAGGAUGCGAGCGUUAUCCGGAUUUAUUGGGUUUAAAGGGUGCGCAGGCGGAAUGUCAAGUCAGCGGUAAAAUGUCGGGGCUCAACCCCGUCGUGCCGUUGAAACUGGCAGUCUCGAGUGAGCGAGAAGUAUGCGGAAUGCGGGGUGUAGCGGUGAAAUGCAUAGAUAUCACGCAGAACUCCGAUUGCGAAGGCAGCAUGCCGGCGCCAAACUGACGCUGAUGCACGAAAGCGUGGGUAUCGAACAGGAUUAGAUACCCCGGUAGUC